rnacentral:lncRNA from 1 species
GCGACGAACAAUGCGACCUCGCCGCGAUCGUGGCUGGCGGGCUACACCUUCGCCGACGUGCUCACUGCAGCGGCGUGUGCUCCAGAGGGCAAGCCACGCGGCGUGCUCACGGCGGCGGCGUGUGCCCCAGGGGGCAAGCCACGCGGCGGUAAUAGGGCUGAGGGGGUCAGCUUUGACCAGAUCAAGGGGAAGGUGCCAUUGGAAGCGUUCGGAGAGGUCGCCUCCUCCUCGGCGACGGCGAACUCAUCGGCUCUUCCGGCAACGAGCCACUGCCAUGAGGGCCCUUCUCCGCAGUUCCCACGAGAGAAACUUGAUGCAGGCUUCCGUGAGUGGGUGUGGGUGAGAAAGGGUUCGCUCUCUCCGCAGCUAGGGUUUCCGGCGAGAAGCGAAGAAAUCCGGCGAUUCGGCGACUCCGCAAGCCGGAUCUGGAGAGUUCUGGAGAGAAGGUGUGAUCACCGCACUUUCGCGCAAGUGGUGAUGAAGCGACGUCCCCCUCCAGGCCGUCCGGAUUGGCAAGCGAACAAGAGGAAGGCGAUGGAGUCGGGAGGUGGAGGUGGUGAUUGGGGUCGACAAGCUGGAGGCGACUGGGGGAAGCAAGCCGGUGGAAGUUGGGCGCACCGUGAGGAAGAGGAACUUCGCAAGCAGCUUCUAGCAAAAGGAAAUCAAGCUGUGGGAGAUCCACGUCGUCCUGGUCGCCCUGGCCAAGAGCAGGGUUAUCCUCCUUAUGAUAAUUCACAAUUCCCCCCGGAUGAUGAUGAUGAUAAGGACAAGAAGGGUAAUGGUGAUAAUGAUGACAUGAAUGUGGAUGAAGAUCAAAAUACUCAAAGCCCAGCUAGAGGUAGAUCAGCCCAUGAUAGAAGAUCUUUCAUGGGAGGUUCCAGAGGUGAUGUUCAAUCAGCCCCUCCUGCUUACAAAGGGAAAAAGGCAUUGGAAGAGACAUGCCUGAGUGAGACUCAGCAGUGUCCUACUAAGAGGGCUGCCUGUAAAAAACAAAGUCUGCUGGUGGUGGAAAAGGAGAGUAUGGUAGAUCAAGAGGGUGACUCUAAAGCAAUGGUAGUGUGGGAGCGAAACACAACACAAGAUGUAGAAUAUGAAUCUCAGGAGAUUGAUUUCCCUGUCACACAAAAAUCGACUGAGGAAGGUGAUAAUGAGGAUGUGUUGACUGGAAUCUUAGAGUUUGAAAAAUGUGACAUUCCAUCUUUAUUUGACAUUGCAAGACAGAGAGAGGAGGAAGAGUUGGAUGAGGAAGAUAGCUUUCAGGAGGUUUCCUACAAAAAGAAGAACAGACCUAAAAAAUCUGAACCUACAAUCACUUCUAGAAUGAGUUUGAGAAACAGAGACAUGGCCUCAGUCCCCAUUCCUAAGACAGCUGAGCUGCUUACUCAAAAGAAGAACCUGGAGACUGGAGGUAACUCUAACCCCUUUGUUGUUUUUCAAAUUAUUGAUCCUGUUGAGCUGAAUAGUAUUGCUAUAGCUGCUAAUAUCUCUCUAGGAAGUAAUGAGGAAGAAAUUGCAAAUACCAUUGAGACCAUUAAGGCUAAAGAGUUGGUUCAAGCUAAAUUAGCUGAGAUGAGAUGGAAAAAAGAGAAGGAAAAGGAGAUGAUAGAUGUUGACUCUUUAUUGAGAAAUGAGAAAGAGCUCCCAGAGAACAUGGGGGAAGAGUGGAAGGCUUUAUGUCGCUCUGAGGAAGUUGCUCUGAUGGAUCACAUUGCUGUGAAGCUGAAAGGGAUGAUUUCAAGCCUGGGGGCGCAAAGAACUGGAAACAGCAACAUCAGGAGUGAAAGGCUCUUUAGCAAUGGCGAUCUAGCGAGCAAUAUCUCCAAUCCUUUUGCUCCAUCUAGGAAGCCAACAUCUGAUAAUCUUAGACUGGUUAGAUUUGGGAACCCCGCGAAGCAGGUUGGCAACCCUGGGAUGUAG